CCUACGUGAUGCAGCAGUGAGGAAUAUUGGUCAAUGGGCGCGAGCCUGAACCAGCCAAGUCGCGUGAAGGAUGAAUGCCCUACGGGUUGUAAACUUCUUUUAUAAAGGAAUAAAGUGAGGCACGUGUGCCUUUUUGUAUGUACUUUAUGAAUAAGGAUCGGCUAACUCCGUGCCAGCAGCCGUGGUAAUACGGAGGAUCCGAGCGUUAUCCGGAUUUAUUGGGUUUAAAGGGAGCGUAGAUGGUUUGUUAAGUCAGUUGUGAAAGUUUGCGGCUCAACCGUAAAAGUGCAAUUGAUACUGGAAGUCUUGAGUACAGUUGAGGUAGGCGGAAUUCGUGGUGUAGCGGUGAAAUGCUUAGAUAUCACGAAGAACUCCGAUUGCGAAGGCAGCUUACUAAACUGCCACUGACAUUGAUGCUCGAAAGUGUGGGUAUCAAACAGGAUUAGAUACCCUAGUAGUC
rnacentral:rRNA from 1 species